rnacentral:rRNA from 1 species
GUGGGGAAUAUUGGACAAUGGGCGAAAGCCUGAUCCAGCCAUGCCGCGUGUGUGAAGAAGGUCUUCGGAUUGUAAAGCACUUUAAGUUGGGAGGAAGGGCAGUAAGUUAAUACCUUGCUGUUUUGACGUUACCAACAGAAUAAGCACCGGCUAACUUCGUGCCAGCAGCCGCGGUAAUACGAAGGGUGCAAGCGUUAAUCGGAAUUACUGGGCGUAAAGCGCGCGUAGGUGGUUUUGUAAGUUGGAGGUGAAAUCCCCGGGCUCAACCUGGGAACUGCCUCAAAAACUGCAUGACUAGAGUUCGGUAGAGGGUAGUGGAAUUUCCUGUGUAGCGGUGAAAUGCGUAGAUAUAGGAAGGAACACCAGUGGCGAAGGCGACUACCUGGACUGAUACUGACACUGAGGUGCGAAAGCGUGGGGAGCAAACAGGAUUAGAUACCCGUGUAGUCC